GGACACGCGCGCAGCGUCUGUGGCCACGGAUGGCCACGUGCCGGCCAUCCGCCGCUCCCCCUGGUGAUAUAUAAGUCUCCCCUCAACGCCCCAGCAAACCUAACCCUCUCCCUGCUCAUCCCUCGCGCCGUUUUCUUCUCUGCGGCACGCAUCCGAACGGCGCUCGCCAUGGCCGUCAUCAUAGUCUCAGCGACCGGCCUUCUCGUCGCCUGAGAUCAAGUUCAGGGGCUUCCACACCGUCGACUCCUUCACCCACGUGCUUUGAAACGAGCCGGGAGCCCGGGACAGCUCGUACUCUCGCCAUCGAGCUCAUCUCCGUCGCGUACAUCACCGACAUUCGUCGUCGUUGCCGCAGUUCCGGUCCACCUCCGGCCUCCCCGACCGUGCCAUAGAGCUCGUGAGCAGGCAAUUGUCGUUCGAGCGGCGACAAGGAGGAUCGGGCAGUUGUCGUUCGGCGGAGCGGCGAUAAGGAGGAUCGGGCACUUGUCGUUCGGCGGAGCGGCGACAAGAAGGCGGCGAGGAUGCUAUCGCAACCGAGGCGACGGGUGAUUGUGGUUCGACAAAACGACCUGGAGGAGGUUGACGGGAGCGGUAGUGCUGAGGUGCGGUGCUAGAAGAUCUCGUCAAGAUCGUCGUUCGGGGGGGGGGGGGGGGGGGGCGAGGAAGAGGCGGCAAAGUUACGAGCUAUCGUCAAGGUGUGCACAUGAGUUCUUGUAAGGUGCGUCCAAGAGCUCAGAUGUGUGAAUCUUCUGCUGCAGUUGAGAUGCGUCACUGGCGGGGAGAAUUGCAAGCGACAACGGGUGGAAAAAGGAAUGCAUGCCUUGUGUUUCCGUUCGUGGUUGCGGAGUUUCAGCGAGUUCAUAUACGAUGAAGAUGAGUUGCACGUAUAUGGCAAGUUGUGUUGCCGCUGGAUAUGAGGUGUCGUUUGAUAAGAUGUGGCAUCGGUGACACUGAGAAGAAAAAAGAUGUGGCGGGUGAAAAAUGUGUCUCCCCAUGCACAAGCAACCGAUGAGAAGACGAAGAUCAACGUGAAGAUGGACGCGCACCGGUUAAGUUGAGUUCCUGCAUGAGGCUAUGCAUUUAGUCUGCAUGUAGCACGCUAAGAUGCGGCAGCGUGGCUGGUAGUCCGGGUAAUCGUUGGUUAAAGUUUAUAAGUUGAUAUGCAAACAAAGUUGCGGUGAUGAUGAGGUGAUGGCCAUCGUCACAAGAAGAAAGAAGUUGUGGUCUGGUAAAUUGUGUCACCGGAGACAAUCGACGUGAUAAGAUGAACAGGCGGUCGUCUGUGUAUCUCGUUGUGUAAAAAGUCGAAUGUUUAAAUUAGGGGGUGAAUGUUAGAGUAAUCCAAACAUGUUAUAGUAGAGAUA